AGAUUGAACGCUAGCGGGAUGCUUUACACAUGCAAGUCGAACGGCAGCGCGGACUUCGGUCUGGCGGCGAGUGGCGAACGGGUGAGUAAUAUAUCGGAACGUGCCCAGUAGCGGGGGAUAACUACGCGAAAGCGUGGCUAAUACCGCAUACGCCCUACGGGGGAAAGGGGGGGAUUCUUCGGAACCUCUCACUAUUGGAGCGGCCGAUAUCAGAUUAGCUAGUUGGUGAGGUAAAGGCUCACCAAGGCGACGAUCUGUAGCUGGUUUGAGAGAACGACCAGCCACACUGGGACUGAGACACGGCCCAGACUCCUACGGGAGCAGCAGUGGGAAUUUGGACAAUGGGCGAAAGCCUGAUCCAGCAAUGCCGCGUGCAGGAAGAAGGCCUUCGGGUUGUAACUGCUUUGUACGGUAACGAAAGGACUACUUUCUAAUAAAGAGGACCGAUGACGGUACCGUAAGAAUAAGACGACCGGACUAACUACGUA
rnacentral:rRNA from 1 species